UUUUUGUAUAUAAAUAACAAUUGAUGCACGUACGUUUACAGUUACUGUUUUCUUGAUCUCCAUGCAAAAGAAGUGGAAAAUAAUUGUUAGAUUCACCUCUUAUUUGUCUAUCGAUCUACUAUUUUGUUCAAAUACGUAGUACCACUCACGAACAACUCGCUCGUCUUCUUUAUGGCAAGCAUGCAUUCUAAAACUAUACUAAAACCCAAUCCGCAAAAAAGACAAACAAAAUGAAUAGUGUCCUGCCUCAUGUCUUCUAUUACGGAAUUGUCCUGACACCUGUACCUUUUCUAUGGCAUCGAGUCCCAGCAGCUGUUUAAUUGCUUCUCCUGCCACCGAUUUGUGGUAGCAGUAAGCAAGUAAACUAUGGAAAGAGGGAAGAACUUCCUGCUGUAUGUUCCUAUGCGGAAUCAAAUCCAAUUGAAGCAAGAUUCUUUGCUGGGUUUUCUUAUUUGUUCCUAUAAAUAGAAGCAAUUGUAGGGGCAAAAUCGAUUCUGGGGAUGUCAUUAUUUUUUGAGAGAUUCAAGCGAUUGAAGCUCCUGAAUUUUGAGGAGGACUUUUGAUGGGUAUUGAUGAAUUUCCAACUGUUCUCAGGUUGCUUAUAACUUACUUCACCCCACUAUCAAUCUACAAACUUUUGUGUUCUGCUCCCAGAGCCUUAGAAGCAGGGUACUUCUUUUUACCUACUGGUGACUAAAAAAAAAAAAAGAGGAAUUGUUCAAAGCAAAACUGAGCAAGAACCUAAAAAGGCAAGUUUUAAAAUCCUCGCUUCAAUUCUAAUUUAGGGACUGUACUCAUUGUGUGCAGUUUCCUUUCCACUCUGUCUGUUCAAUUUAGCCAUCCCUUAAUUAAUGACUCAAUCUUUUAUAUAUAACUUUCAUGUGCUCUGUAUAUUUCAGUGACAAUUUUGAAGAUGAAACAACACCAUCAAAUCAGACCAGCACAAAUACAUUGGUUCAAUCUGACACAGAAGGCCUUACCUAACCACUUCUACUCUACAAUCUUAUCCUUUUUGUCAUGCUCUGUAACUUUUUGUGAUAGGGACCAUUCUCUAUAUUUUUUGUAAUGCUAACGGUCUUUGAAAAACAAUGUCAUGCUGUGUACAUAUAA